rnacentral:rRNA from 1 species
CCUACGGGAGGCAGCAGUGAGGGAUAUUGGUCAAUGGACGCAAGCCUGAACCAGCCAAGCAGCGUGCAGGAUGACUGCUCUAUGGGUUGUAAACUUCUUUUAUAUGGGCGUAAAGUGCAGUAUGUAUACUUCUUUGAAUGUAUCUUACGAAUAAGGAUCGGCUAACUCCGUGCCAGCAGCCGCGGUAAUACGGAGGAUCCGAGCGUUAUCCGGAUUUAUUGGGUUUAAAGGGAGCGUAGGCGGUUUGUUAAGUCAGUUGUGAAAGUUCGCGGCUCAAACGUAAAAUUGCAGUUGAUACUGGCAGACUAGAGAGCAGUAGAGGUAGGCGGAAUGCGUGGUGUAGCGGUGAAAUGCUUAGAUAUCACGAAGAACUCCGAUUGCGAAGGCAGCCUGCUGGACUGUAACUGACGCUGAGGCUCGAAAGUGUGGGGAUCAAACAGGAUUAGAUACCCCUGUAGUC